rnacentral:rRNA from 1 species
UACAGAGGGUGCGAGCGUUAAUCGGAAUUACUGGGCGUAAAGCGCGCGUAGGCGGCUUUGCAAGUCGGGUGUGAAAUCCCCAGGCUUAACCUGGGAACUGCAUUCGAGACUGCAUUGCUAGAGUAUGGGAGAGGGAAGUGGAAUUUCCGGUGUAGCGGUGAAAUGCGUAGAUAUCGGAAGGAACAUCAGUGGCGAAAGCGACUCCUGGACCAAUACUGACGCUCGUGGGCGAAAGCUAGGGGAGCGAACGGG